AUUGAACGCUGGCGGCAGGCCUAACACAUGCAAGUCGAACGAGUGGCGGACGGGUGAGUAAUGUCUGGGAAACUGCCUGCUGGAGGGGGAUAACUACUGGAAACGGUAGCUAAUACCGCAUACCAUCAGAUGUGCCCAGCUGGGAUUAGCUUGUUGGGGGGGUAACGGCUCACCAAGGCGACGAUACCUAGCUGGUCUGAGAGGAUGACCGUCCACACUGGGACUGAGACCCGGUCCAGACUCCUACGGGAGGCAGCAGUGGGGAAUAUUGCACAAUGGGGCCAAACCCGAUUCAGCCAUGCCGCGUGUAUGAAGGAGGCCUUCGGGUUGUAAAGUACGUUCAGCGGGGAGGCGUUACCCGCAGAAGAAGCACCGGCUAACUCCGUGCCAGCAGCCGCCGUAAUAC
rnacentral:rRNA from 1 species